rnacentral:rRNA from 1 species
CGUGGAAAGUGGCGGACGGGUGAGUAACGCGUAGGAAUUUACCUAAAGGUACGGAACAACUAAUGGAAACGUUAGCUAAUACCGUAUGAUGCCUCCGGGCCAAAGAUUUAUCGCCUUUAGAUGAGCCUGCGUCGGAUUAGGUAGUUGGUGGGGUAAAAGCCUACCAAGCCGACGAUCCGUAGCUGGUCUGAGAGGAUGAUCAGCCACACUGGGACUGAGACACGGCCCAGACUCC